AAGGAAUGAUGGGGGCAUCUCCUGAGGAACUCGUUGAAUAUUUCCCAUGCAUCAUACAAACUUUCACCUUCAAGUUGAUGAAAGAAUGUGAUCUCAUUCUUCAACUU
rnacentral:snoRNA from 1 species